GAUGAAGAACGUAGCGAAAUGCGAUAAUUAAUGUGAAUUGCAGAAUUCCGUGAAUCAUCGAAUCUUUGAACGCACAUUGCGCCCCCUGGUAUUCCGGGGGGCAUGCCUGUCCGAGCGUCAUUACAACCCUCAAGCUCAGCUUGGUGUUGGGCCCCGCCGCCCCGGCGGGCCCUAAAGUCAGUGGCGGUGCCGUCCGGCUCCGAGCGUAGUAAUUCUUCUCGCUCUGGAGGUCCGGUCGUGUGCUCGCCAGCAACCCCCAAUUUUUUUCAGGUUGACCUCGGAUCAGGUAGGGAUACCCGCUGAACUUAAGCAUAUCAAUAAGCGGAGGA
rnacentral:misc_RNA from 1 species